AAUGACAAAUAUUGUAUCACUCUACUUCUGUGAGGUACCUAUAGUACAUUCAUAGAGACAAAAAGUAAAAGGGUGCUUGCCAGGGGCUGGGGCCAAGGAGGAAUUGGGAAGUGUGGGAAGAUGAAAAUAUUCCACAGAUGGAUGGUGGUGACAACUGCACAAUAAUGUGAAGAUACCUAAUGCCACAGAACUUUACACUUAAAAAUGGUUAAAAUAGUAAAUGCUUUGUAUAGGUUACCACAACUUUUUUUAAGUGAGGUGUCCAGAAGUAUAAUAAAUACAACUCCAGGCACUGUUGGAUGCAACAGUUCAAGUGCCUUCAUGGGAAUCUUGUCACUAUUUUGUUCUUCUUUCCUCUUCAUUUGCUUCAUUUUCAAGAAGAAUCUCUUUACGUGGUGGCAAAGAUGGCCACCCUCAUCUUAAAUCAUCUAUAUACCUCAUGAUUGUCGCCAAAAGAGAGUCUCUUGCCUGACAGUUCCAGCUAAAGCUCUGGGAAUGGCUGAUUGGCCUGGUGUUGGGUCAUAAACCCACUCUUGAACUAAUCACUGUAGCCAGAAAUCAGAGUACACUGAUUGGUCAAGCCUGAGUCAUGUGUUCAACCUCAAGCCAAUCACUGUAGUCAGGGGAGCAGAGUUCUCUGGCCAUGCCUCCCUGAUGGGAGUCCACCUGAACCGUGGACUGAGAAUGAAAAGGGUGAUUUCUCACAGAGAUACUGGACAGUCAAAACAUGUCCAUCACAGCUUCUUCUUUCUUUCUCUAUGGACCAGUUUUCUGUGUUUUCAGUCAGUAUGGUAGAAGAAAUAUUGCUAUGCCCAGCUCAAGUUUUACUUUCUCUCUAUUCAAGAACACUAGAAGUCCCUGGGAGACUCUGACUAGUGAAGCUCAUACAACUAACUGUGAUGGUGGAGAUGAGGAUAGUCUUAAAGGUAACACGGUUGCAACAGACUCAUCUAUGCGAAUAUAAAGACUCUUCCUUCUGCAGCAAGUAGAAGGCAUGACUGAAGCAACUCAAGUCUACAUCAUCCCAGCUUCGCAAUCUCCCAAGAGAACAAGAGCCCCAGUUGGCCAACAUCUGAACAUAAAUUCUCAUCAGUCCACCUUCAUAAGCAGACGGGGAGGGUCUCCAGGGAUAACAGGAAUUUAACCAACUUCAGCAAUGAGCCUGGUUUACAGCCUCCUGCCCUGCAGCCUGUUCUUCCACAAACCCUGGGUAAAAUGCAGUCACCUUGUUGGUUUAAACCAGCUCUUGACAGACCCCCGGCAACAUACAGAUGAACGCAAGUGAACUUUCUCAUGACCACGCUAAAGUCUCCACCCUGGGCAACCUGUAGCUUCAUUACCAUGACAUGCAACCUAUGCGCUGACGUAAUGACUCACUGCAUCUGUGCAACUAGACCUCUCCUCGUCAUGCAAUGAUGCUCCCUGUCUCCUCUCCAUUGCGCCAUAAAACCCUCCUGUCACUUUCCCUCGGAAAGACACUGCUUUGGAGAAUACCCCCAGUGUCACCCUUACUUGAGUUAAAUAAAACUCCUAUUGAUCAAAGAC
rnacentral:lncRNA from 1 species